GAGAUUCUAUAGUAUAUGUAAUGUAAACUAUAUGUUAAAUGCGCGCAUUUAGCGAUAAGCGAAAAGUGCGUUCAGAAUACGGGCCAAUGUAAUAGUAAAUACCGAGUAUUUUAAUUGAGGAUGAUCGAGGUAUAGGUACGGAGUUAAGAAAGACAUCGAAGGAUUGAAAAUGAGAUAGAAGUACAGAAUCAAGAAAGACAUUGAAGGAUUGAAGAUGAGAUAGAAGAACCGGAAAUGAGAAAUAAGGAUUUGGAAAGAUUAAGAUGUGAAGCGUUGAAGGAUUAUAGCCCAUUUAGCUACCGUUUUAAGGUCAUUGUUUAACGCCGCAAUGGAAAGUUAAUAUCUUCGGAAUAUCUUUGAUUUAAUAAUUUUACUCAAACAAUUUUAUCAAUAAUUACGCCAACGUAAGUGCUUUGCGUUUUUUAAGUUGCGUUUUACAAAAAUAUACCAAUUGUUUGUAUCUUAAUCAUUCGAUGCAUUCACAUUAAUUAAUUCAAUGCUUUCUUUAAUUUAAUGUGAUACUCAAUGAAAGAUUAUAUAUAUAUCACGAGAUGCUCUAAUCUAGGAUCUCUAAUCUAUAUUCGAUGAAUAUUGCUAAAAGUAAUACCCAUUGAUAAAUAAUAAUUCUACGGGAUUAAAUCAGAGUAUGUUAUCGUUACCGCUGAUACCAUAAAUCUCUAUUCGCAUGAUGCUAUCAUCAUCAGUGAUCUGUGAUCACGCACAUGCGUGGGCUCUUCCAUUCAAUCUCGCAAGAAGUUAAGGGCUCGUGCAUGUACGAGCUUUUACAAUCUUCGCGUUACUGACGCGUUUCGACAAGAAGACAUUAUUGCGUACCAGUUCGAGAAUAUGGGACUUUUUUCAUGCAUCCUAUUGAGAUGUUUUCAUUCCAUAAAAUUUUAUUGGACACGAAAAAACUCAAUAAUCUCAGAAGAUCGCUCGAUUACAAUUCGGUGAUAAUACGUGAGAAGUAGAAGGCGUGGGAAGCUACCGGAUAUUCGCAACGCUUCACAGUCAAAGUUUCAACAACAGAUCACGCGCAUGACGAACGUAUUCGCGAGGAUUGCAACACAAACUCAGAAUGUUUAACGAUAUUUGUCGUUGGUCUUCCAUGCACGCUAAGCUUGUUAAUUAUUCCUGUUUAUGAUACCGACCGUUUAAUAAAAGUGCAAAGCCGUUGUUGGUUCGACAUUGUUUCUUUCGCGUUUGUUCUCAUUUCGCCUAGGAUAUAUAUUGCGACGUAUACCUAAAGUAAACGUUUUCCAUUAUAUGAGCUUUAUAACGGAGGCGUAAUAUUUACGAAGACGCGGAAUCGCUAUUUCGUCAAUAAUUGAUUUUUACGACGUGGUAGUCGUUCACCUUGAGACAAAAGCGUUUGGACAGUCAUCCCAUAUGUUUCUUACAGUAAAAUAAAAAUACAAAACUGGAGACAAAACACAUGUCGGAAAUUCUAUUUAACAUCAUCCGUUGUUUAUCAAAUACUAUGUGUAAAAUAAAUUUUACGAAUGAAGCAGUCAUUCAGAGUUGAAAUAUAUAUAUAAAAACAAAAUAUAAAAAAUAAAAACACGUCAAAUGCUUUGUAACGAUCGAAAUCUGUCAAUGGCGAUUACAAAGUUGUACGGAAUUCUUCGCUCUAUUAAAUUUCAAGCUUGACAAGCCUUAGCAAGAAAAUUUAAAAUUUUAUUAUGCAAAAAUAUCUUUAGAAUUCAAGAACUUCAUAAUAAGUUUUCUGAACAGUAUGUCACAAUUAUUCAUUAAUAUUAAGAAUUAACAGAAAACAUUGUUUACAAGCAAAAAGACAAUGAAAAAAGACAUGUAAAAAAUUUUUUUAAAAAGAUAGCAACUAUAGUCAUUACAUAUCAUAGUCGUCAAUCAUCAAAGUAAACAAAACUUAGAAUCACACACAAAAUCCUAUUCAGGUUUGAAAAGAGGUUUGAAAUAAAAAAAAAAUCAAGGUAAUAUCUAUUUCCAAGUGUUUAAAUACUAAAUUUCCCAAAAGCUCUCUAUUUUUAAUAUAGUUUAUAAACUGAA